GAUGAACGCUGGCGGCGUGCCUAAUACAUGCAAGUCGAGCGAACAGACGAGGAGCUUGCUCCUCUGAUGUUAGCGGCGGACGGGUGAGUAACACGUGGAUAACCUACCUAUAAGACUGGGAUAACUUCGGGAAACCGGAGCUAAUACCGGAUAACAUGUUGAACCGCAUGGGUCAACAGUGAAAGACGGUCUUGCUGUCACUAAUAGAUGGAUCCGCGCCGCAUUAAAGAGUUGGUAAGGCAAUGGCUUACCAAGGCAACGAUGCGUAGCCGAACUGAGAGGGUGACAGGCGACAGAGGAGCUUAGCCACCUGCCUAAGGCCGACAGGCGUCAGCGGUAGGGAAUGUUCAGCAAUGCCCCAAAGCCUGACAGAACAAUGACGCGUGAGGGUACGAGCACUUCCGAUCGUAAAACUCUGUUAUUAGGAAAGAACAAAAGUGCAAGUCAUAAUGCACGUCUUGACGGUACCUAGUAAGAAAGCCACGGCUAACUACGGG
rnacentral:rRNA from 1 species